rnacentral:rRNA from 1 species
CCCUUAGAUGUUCUGGGCCGCACGCGCGCUACACUGAAGGGAUCAGCGUGUUUUCCCUUCCCGAGAGGGAUGGGUAACCCGCUGAACCCCCUUCGUGGUAGGGAUCGGAGCUUGCAAUUGUUCUCCGUGAACCAGGAAUUCCCAGUAAGCGCAAGUCAUAAGCUUGCGUUGAUUACGUCCCUGCCCUUUGUACACACCGCCCGUCGCUACUACCGAUUGAACGUUUUAGUGAGGUAUUUGGACUGGACCUUGGGAGGUUUCGGCCUCCCUUGUUGCUCGGAAAGACUCCCAAACUUGAGCGUUUAGAGGAAGUAAAAGUCGUAACA